UAAGAGCGAAUGGUGGAUGCCUUGACUGGUAAAGGCGAUGAAGGACGUACUAGACUGCGAUAAGCUACGGGGAGCUGUCAAGAAGCUUUGAUCCGUAGAUUUCCGAAUGGGGCAACCCAAUGUAUAGAGAUAUACAUUACCUAUAUAGGAGCGAACGAGGGGAAUUGAAACAUCUUAGUACCCUCAGGAAAAGAAAUCAAUAGAGAUUGCGUCAGUAGCGGCGAGCGAAAGCGCAAGAGGGCAAACCCAGUGCUUGCACUGGGGGUUGUAGGACUGCAAUGUGCAAGAGGUGAGUUUAGCAGAACAUUCUGGAAAGUAUAGCCAUAGAGGGUGAUAGUCCCGUAUGCGAAAAACAAACCUUAGCUAGCAGUAUCCUGAGUAGGGCGGGACACGAGAAAUCCUGUCUGAAGCUGGGUCGACCACGAUCCAACCCUAAAUACUAAUACCAGAUCGAUAGUGCACAAGUACCGUGAGGGAAAGGUGAAAAGAACUGAGGUGAUCAGAGUGAAAUAGAACCUGAAACCAUUUGCUUACAAUCAUUCAGAGCCCUAUGUAGCAAUACAGGGUGAUGGACUGCCUUUUGCAUAAUGAGCCUGCGAGUUGUGGUGUCUGGCAAGGUUAAGCAAACGCGAAGCCGUAGCGAAAGCGAGUCUGAAUAGGGCGCUUAGUCAGAUGCUGCAGACCCGAAACGAAGUGAUCUAUCCAUGAGCAAGUUGAAGCUAGUGUAAGAACUAGUGGAGGACUGAACCCAUAGGCGUUGAAAAGCCCCGGGAUGACUUGUGGAUAGGGGUGAAAGGCCAAUCAAACUUCGUGAUAGCUGGUUCUCUCCGAAAUAUAUUUAGGUAUAGCGUUGUGUCGUAAUAUAAGGGGGUAGAGCACUGAAUGGGCUAGGGCAUACACCAAUGUACCAAACCCUAUCAAACUCCGAAUACCUUAUAUGUAAUCACAGCAGUCAGGCGGCGAGUGAUAAAAUCCGUCGUCAAGAGGGAAACAACCCAGACUACCAGCUAAGGUCCCUAAAUCUUACUUAAGUGGAAAACGAUGUGAAGUUACUUAAACAACCAGGAGGUUGGCUUAGAAGCAGCCAUCCUUUAAAGAAAGCGUAAUAGCUCACUGGUCUAGUGAUUUUGCGCGGAAAAUAUAACGGGGCUAAAGUAAGUACCGAAGCUGUAGACUUGCACACAACUUAGAUUAUUUAAGUUUAGAAUAUGAGAAACUAAGUUAUAUGUUUAGUUAUAUUUUUACUGAUUUUUAUAGAGUAAAGAUAGAAAUAAAACUUAGUAAAAUCAGUAAAAAUAUUCUUAGACUAAAGUUAAGUAGUUUAAGUUGUGUGCAAGUGGUAGGAGAGCGUUCUAUUUGCGUCGAAGGUAUACCGGUAAGGAGUGCUGGAGCGAAUAGAAGUGAGCAUGCAGGCAUGAGUAGCGAUAAUUAAUGUGAGAAUCAUUAACGCCGUAAACCCAAGGUUUCCUACGCGAUGCUCGUCAUCGUAGGGUUAGUCGGGUCCUAAGUCGAGUCCGAAAGGGGUAGACGAUGGCAAAUUGGUUAAUAUUCCAAUACCAACAUUAGUGUGCGAUGGAAGGACGCUUAGGGCUAAGGGGGCUAGCGGAUGGAAGUGCUAGUCUAAGGUCGUAGGAGGUUAUACAGGCAAAUCCGUAUAACAAUACUCCGAGAACUGAAAGGCUUUUUGAAGUCUUCGGAUGGAUAGAAGAACCCCUGAUGCCGUCGAGCCAAGAAAAGUUUCUAAGUUUAGCUAAUGUUGCCCGUACCGUAAACCGACACAGGUGGGUGGGAUGAGUAUUCUAAGGCGCGUGGAAGAACUCUCUUUAAGGAACUCUGCAAAAUAGCACCGUAUCUUCGGUAUAAGGUGUGGUUAGCUUUGUAUUAGGAUUUACUCCGAAAGCAAGGAAACUUACAACAAAGAGUCCCUCCCGACUGUUUACCAAAAACACAGCACUCUGCUAACUCGUAAGAGGAUGUAUAGGGUGUGACGCCUGCCCGGUGCUCGAAGGUUAAUUGAUGGGGUUAGCAUUAGCGAAGCUCUUGAUCGAAGCCCGAGUAAACGGCGGCCGUAACUAUAACGGUCCUAAGGUAGCGAAAUUCCUUGUCGGUUAAAUACCGACCUGCAUGAAUGGCGUAACGAGAUGGGAGCUGUCUCAAAGAGGGAUCCAGUGAAAUUGUAGUGGAGGUGAAAAUUCCUCCUACCCGCGGCAAGACGGAAAGACCCCGUGGACCUUUACUACAGCUUGACACUGCUAUUUGGAUAAGAAUGUGCAGGAUAGGUGGGAGGCUUUGAGUAUAUGACGCCAGUUGUAUAUGAGCCAUUGUUGAGAUACCACUCUUUCUUAUUUGGGUAGCUAACCAGCUUGAGUUAUCCUCAAGUGGGACAAUGUCUGGUGGGUAGUUUGACUGGGGCGGUCGCCUCCCAAAUAAUAACGGAGGCUUACAAAGGUUGGCUCAGAACGGUUGGAAAUCGUUCGUAGAGUAUAAAGGUAUAAGCCAGCUUAACUGCAAGACAUACAAGUCAAGCAGAGACGAAAGUCGGUCUUAGUGAUCCGGUGGUUCUGUGUGGAAGGGCCAUCGCUCAAAGGAUAAAAGGUACCCCGGGGAUAACAGGCUGAUCUCCCCCAAGAGCUCACAUCGACGGGGAGGUUUGGCACCUCGAUGUCGGCUCAUCGCAUCCUGGGGCUGGAGCAGGUCCCAAGGGUAUGGCUGUUCGCCAUUUAAAGCGGUACGCGAGCUGGGUUCAGAACGUCGUGAGACAGUUCGGUCCCUAUCUGCCGUGGGCGUAAGAAGAUUGAAGAGAUUUGACCCUAGUACGAGAGGACCGGGUUGAACAAACCACUGGUGUAGCUGUUGUUCUGCCAAGAGCAUCGCAGCGUAGCUAAGUUUGGAAAGGAUAAACGCUGAAAGCAUCUAAGCGUGAAGCCAACUCUAAGAUGAAUCUUCUCUAAGCUCUCUAGAAGACUACUAGUUUGAUAGGCUGGGUGUGUAAUGGAUGAAAGUCCUUUAGCUGACCAGUACUAAUAGAGCGUUUGGCUUAUCUUU
rnacentral:rRNA from 1 species